GGUCAAGCGAACAAGUGCAUGUGGUGGAUGCCUUGGCGAUCACAGGCGAUGAAGGACGCGGUAGCCUGCGAAAAGCCCCGGGGAGCUGGCAAACAAGCUUUGAUCCGGGGAUGUCCGAAUGGGGAAACCCACUCCGUAUGGAGUAUCCAUGACUGAAUACAUAGGUCAUGUGAAGCGAACGCGGUGAACUGAAACAUCUAAGUAACCGCAGGAAAAGAAAUCAACCGAGAUUCCCAAAGUAGUGGCGAGCGAAAUGGGAUGAGCCUUGUACUCUUUAUUUGUAUUGUUAGCCGAACGCUCUGGAAAGUGCGGCCAUAGCAGGUGAUAGCCCUGUAGGCGAAAACAGUAUGAAAGAACUAGGUGUACGACAAGUAGGGCGGGACACGUGAAAUCCUGUCUGAAGAUGGGGGGACCAUCCUCCAAGGCUAAAUACUCGUGAUCGACCGAUAGUGAACCAGUACCGUGAGGGAAAGGCGAAAAGAACCCCGGGAGGGGAGUGAAAUAGAUCCUGAAACCGCAUGCAUACAAACAGUCGGAGCCUCGUAAGGGGUGACGGCGUACCUUUUGUAUAAUGGGUCAGCGACUUACGUUCAGUAGCAAGCUUAACCGUAUAGGGCAGGCGUAGCGAAAGCGAGUCCGAAUAGGGCGUUCAGUUGCUGGGCGUAGACCCGAAACCAGGUGAUCUAUCCAUGGCCAGGAUGAAGGUGCGGUAACACGUACUGGAGGUCCGAACCCACUAACGUUGAAAAGUUAGGGGAUGAGCUGUGGAUAGGGGUGAAAGGCUAAACAAACCUGGAAAUAGCUGGUUCUCUCCGAAAACUAUUUAGGUAGUGCCUCGUGUCUCACCUUCGGGGGUAGAGCACUGUCAUGGUUGGGGGGUCUAUUGCAGAUUACCCCGCCAUAGCAAACUCCGAAUACCGAAGAGUGCAAUCACGGGAGACAGACAUCGGGUGCUAACGUCCGGUGUCAAGAGGGAAACAACCCAGACCGCCAGCUAAGGUCCCCAAAUAUGGCUAAGUGGGAAACGAAGUGGGAAGGCUAAAACAGUCAGGAGGUUGGCUUAGAAGCAGCCACCCUUUAAAGAAAGCGUAAUAGCUCACUGAUCGAGUCGUCCUGCGCGGAAGAUGUAACGGGGCUAAGCCAUAUACCGAAGCUGCGGAUGCGUGCUUGCACGCAUGGUAGGAGAGCGUUCCGUAAGCCUGCGAAGGUGCCUUGUAAAGGGUGCUGGAGGUAUCGGAAGUGCGAAUGCUGACAUGAGUAGCGAUAAAGGGGGUGAAAGGCCCCCUCGCCGUAAGCCCAAGGUUUCCUACGCAACGUUCAUCGGCGUAGGGUGAGUCGGCCCCUAAGGCGAGGCAGAAAUGCGUAGCUGAUGGGAAGCAGGUCAAUAUUCCUGCACCAUUGUUAGAUGCGAUGGGGGGACGGAUCGCGGAAGGUUGUCCGGGUGUUGGACGUCCCGGUCGCUGCAUUGGAGAAGGCGCUUAGGCAAAUCCGGGCGCAGGAUUCAAGGGUGUGGCGCGAGCGACUUCGGUCGCGAAGCAAUUGGAAGUGGUUCCAAGAAAAGCCUCUAAGCUUCAGUCUAACGAUGACCGUACCGCAAACCGACACAGGUGGGCGAGAUGAGUAUUCUAAGGCGCUUGAGAGAACUCGGGAGAAGGAACUCGGCAAAUUGGUACCGUAACUUCGGGAUAAGGUACGCCCUUGUAGCUUGACUGGCCUGCGCCAGGAGGGUGAAGGGGUUGCAAUAAACUGGUGGCUGCGACUGUUUAAUAAAAACACAGCACUCUGCAAACACGAAAGUGGACGUAUAGGGUGUGACGCCUGCCCGGUGCCGGAAGAUUAAAUGAUGGGGUGCAAGCUCUUGAUUGAAGUCCCGGUAAACGGCGGCCGUAACUAUAACGGUCCUAAGGUAGCGAAAUUCCUUGUCGGGUAAGUUCCGACCUGCACGAAUGGCGUAACGAUGGCCACACUGUCUCCUCCCGAGACUCAGCGAAGUUGAAGUGUUUGUGAUGAUGCAAUCUACCCGCGGCUAGACGGAAAGACCCCAUGAACCUUUACUGUAGCUUUGCAUUGGACUUUGAACCGAUCUGUGUAGGAUAGGUGGGAGGCUAUGAAACCGGAACGCUAGUUUCGGUGGAGCCGUCCUUGAAAUACCACCCUGGUUUGUUUGAGGUUCUAACCUUGGUCCGUGAUCCGGAUCGGGGACAGUGCAUGGUAGGCAGUUUGACUGGGGCGGUCUCCUCCCAAAGGGUAACGGAGGAGUACGAAGGUACGCUAGGUACGGUCGGAAAUCGUGCUGAUAGUGCAAUGGCAUAAGCGUGCUUAACUGCGAGACCGACAAGUCGAGCAGGUGCGAAAGCAGGUCAUAGUGAUCCGGUGGUUCUGUAUGGAAGGGCCAUCGCUCAACGGAUAAAAGGUACUCUGGGGAUAACAGGCUGAUACCGCCCAAGAGUUCAUAUCGACGGCGGUGUUUGGCACCUCGAUGUCGGCUCAUCUCAUCCUGGGGCUGUAGCCGGUCCCAAGGGUAUGGCUGUUCGCCAUUUAAAGAGGUACGUGAGCUGGGUUUAAAACGUCGUGAGACAGUUUGGUCCCUAUCUGCCGUGGGCGUUGGAUAUUUGAAGGGGGCUGCUCCUAGUACGAGAGGACCGGAGUGGACGAACCUCUGGUGUACCGGUUGUGACGCCAGUCGCAUCGCCGGGUAGCUAUGUUCGGAAGAGAUAACCGCUGAAAGCAUCUAAGCGGGAAACUCGCCUUAAGAUGAGAUAUCCCUGGAGGCUUGACCUCCUUGAAGGGUCGUUCGAGACCAGGACGUUGAUAGGUCGGGUGUGUAAGCGCAGUAAUGCGUUCAGCUAACCGAUACUAAUUGCCCGUAAGGCUUGAUCCU
rnacentral:rRNA from 1 species